rfam:Triticum aestivum genome assembly, contig: Triticum_aestivum_CS42_TGACv1_scaffold_362375_4DS
AUAGUACUCCCUCCGUUCCAAAUUACUUGUCUCGAAAGUGAAUAAAAAUGGAUGUAUCUAUAACUAAAAUACGUCUAGAUAUAUCCAUUUCCGUGACAAGUAAUUCCGAACGGAGGGAGUAGGUC